UGGGGAAUAUUGGACAAUGGGCGCAAGCCUGAUCCAGCCAUGCCGCGUGAGUGAUGAAGGCCCUAGGGUUGUAAAGCUCUUUCACCGGUGAAGAUAAUGACGGUAACCGGAGAAGAAGCCCCGGCUAACUUCGUGCCAGCAGCCGCGGUAAUACGAAGGGGGCUAGCGUUGUUCGGAUUUACUGGGCGUAAAGCGCACGUAGGCGGACUAUUAAGUCAGGGGUGAAAUCCCGGGGCUCAACCCCGGAACUGCCUUUGAUACUGGUAGUCUUGAGUGCGAGAGAGGUGAGUGGAAUUCCGAGUGUAGGGGUGAAAUUCGUAGAUAUUCGAAAGAACACCAGUGGCGAAGGCGGCUCGCUGGCUCGAUACUGACGCUGAGAUGCGAAAGCGUGGGGAGCAAACAGG
rnacentral:rRNA from 1 species